GGAAAAGCUCAAAUUUAAAAUCUGGUGGCCUCAUGGCCAUCCGAGUUGUAAUUUAAAAAAACUUCUCCCCCCCUGGACCGUGCACAAGUUUCCUGGAAUGGAGCGUCAUAGAGGGUGAGAAUCCCCUUUUUGGCACGGACACACCAGGGCUUUUGUGAUGCGCUCUCGAAGAGUCGAGUUGUUUGGGAAUGCAGCUCAAAAUGGGUGGUGAACUCCAUCUAAAGCUAAAUAUUGGCGAGAGACCGAUAGCGAACAAGUACCGUGAGGGAAAGAUGAAAAGCACUUUGGAAAGAGAGUGAAACAGUACGUGAAAUUGUUGAAAGGGAAACGCUUGAAGUCAGUCGCGUUGGCCGAGACUCAGCCUUGCCUCGGCUUGGUGUACUUCUCUGCCGACGGGUCAGCAUCAAUUUUGCCCCUUGGAUAAUGGCGAGGGAAAUGUGGCACCCUUUCGGGUGUGUUAUAGUCUCUCGUCGCAUGCAAGGGUCGGGAUUGAGGAACUCAGCACGCGCCCUCGGGCGUCGGGGUUUUGCCCACGAUACGUGCUUAGGAUGUUGGCGUAAUGGCUUUAAACGACCCGUCUUGAAACACGGACCAAGGAGUCUAACAUGCCCGCGAGUGUUCGGGUGGAAAACCCGUGCGCGCAAUGAAAGUGAAAGUUGGGACCUCUGUCGUGGAGGGCACCAACGCCCGGACCAGACCUUCUGUGACGGAUCUGCGGUAGAGCGUGCAUGUUAGGACCCGAAAGAUGGUGAACUAUGCCUGAAUAGGGUGAAGCCAGAGGAAACUCUGGUGGAGGC
rnacentral:rRNA from 1 species